rnacentral:rRNA from 1 species
AAUUGUAUUGACAACAGUUUACCAAAGAUUGACAUGACAUUUUUAUCUGAAGAGGAGGCCUACUCCUUUUAUAACAAGUAUGCAAAAGGUACUGGUUUUAGCAUCCGAAGAGGGAGUCACCAUAAAGUGAAGAAUACUACUGUAAUACAACAACGGACAUUUACAUGCUCCCGUCAAGGAUUCCGAGUUGAAGAUAGCAGAGAGGAUUCUUUCAGUUACAGUAGGCCUGAAACACGAUGUGGUUGUCAAGCUCAUAUGAAGAUAAGUCUAAAAAACGGAUUGUAUUAUGUGUAUGAAUUUGAGGCAGAACAUAACCACCCUCUUGCUACCGGAGACAUGGCCCUAUACUUAAGAUCCCAAAGGAAAGUCACAGAAGCACAAAUAGCAAGCGCUGAAGUCGCAAAGUCUGUAGGCAUUUCGAAUAAAGCAACUAUUGAUCUUAUGGCCAAAGAAGCAUGUGGCCUUCCAAAUCUUGGGUUUGCACCUGAAGAUAUGAAAAACCGUUUGUAUUCUAAGAGAACACUGCAAGCAAAGAAAGGAGACACGGGGGGAGUGUUAGAAUACAUGGAGAAGAAGGUAAAAGAAGAUGCCAAUUUUUUCUAUUCAAUUCAAGUUGACGAGGAUGAUCUGAUAACUAAUAUUUUUUGGGCUGACUCCAAAAUGAUAUCAGACUAUGCAAUGUUUGGUGAUGUUGUAUGCUUUGACACCACAUAUAGGAAACUAGAUGAUGGACGUCCAUUUGGUUUGAUUGUUGGGGUGAAUAAUCACAAGAAAACUACUGUCUUCGGUGCUACACUUCUCUAUGAUGAAACAGCUGAAAGUUUUGGUUGGCUUUUUAGAACAUUUCUAACAGCUAUGUCUGGGAAACAUCCAAGGACUAUUCUGACCGAUGAAGAUGCGGCAAUGGCCAAGGCAAUCAAGAAAGUCCUUCCUCAGUCUCACCAUAGACUUUGUGUGUGGCAUAUGAAUCAAAAUGCUUGCAAGCACCUUGCUGGGGUUGUUGAAGAAUAUAAGAAGUUCAAUGCAGAUUUUCAGCACUGUAUCUAUGAUAUUGAGGAAGAAGACGAUUUUAUAAAUGAAUGGAAUAGAAUGCUAGACAGUACCCAAAGAAGUGAAAGUAUGAAUAAUGAACUAAAGCGGUACAUUAGUAUUAAAUAUGACAUGCUUACAUUUUUUGAGCAUUUUGAGCGGCUCGUUGCGGAUAAAAGAUUUGUAGAGGUGAAGUGUGACUUCAAGGCGUCACAAACUACUCCCAAGCUGAAGGCGGAAGGUAGCUAUGUAUUAAGGCAAGCUGCAACUAUAUAUACUCCCGCAAUAUUCAAGAUGUUUCAGGAGCAAGUGCUUCGGACCCUGAACUAUGACACAUUUCUUUGUGAUAAUAGUGAUAAAGAGAUGAUGGUUUAUACAGUAAAAUUUCAUGGCACGCAACGUGAGCAUGUUAUCAGAUUUUAUCCGAACGAAGAAAGAGUCAAUUGCAGUUGCAAGAAAUGGACAAUUGAUGCGAAAGUGCUA